UAAUCUUAGAGCUCCAGAGCCUAGUCUCAGGCUGAGAUAUAAAACUGUAUCCUGUAAUAUGGAAUACCCGAGACAGGUGUUGAAGGAUUGCAACAAGAGAAGACAAUUAGCUUUGGGUUCAAGGGUUCAGCUGGCAAACUUAUUCUUACAUAAUCAUAAUUUAUAAUAGGAUGCAAUACUAGAAAGAUAAUAAUAACAUACUAGAGUAAACCUAUUCUUUAAAAAUAAAUUAUAAUAGGAUACAUUUGUUGGAUUGUAUUUAAGCCAAAUAAAAUUCAUUAA